GAUGAACGCUGGCGGCGUGCCUAAUACAUGCAAGUCGAGCGAACGGACGAGAAGCUUGCUUCUCUGAUGUUAGCGGCGGACGGGUGAGUAACACGUGGAUAACCUACCUAUAAGACUGGGAUAACUUCGGGAAACCGGAGCUAAUACCGGAGAAUAUUUUGAACCGCAUGGUUCAAAAGUGAAAGACGGUCUUGCUGUCACUUAUAGAUGGAUCCGCGCUGCAUUAGCUAGUUGGUAAGGUAACGGCUUACCAAGGCAACGAUGCAUAGCCGACCUGAGAGGGUGAUCGGCCACACUGGAACUGAGACACGGUCCAGACUCCUAAGGGAGGCAGCAGUAGGGAAUGUGCCGCAAUGGGCGAAAGCCUGACGGAGCAACGCCGCGUGAGUGAUGGAGGUCUUCGGAUCGUAAUACUCGGUUAUGGGGGAAGAACAUAUGUGUAAGUAGAUGUACACAGCUUGACGGUAAUUAAUCAGGAAGCCACGGCUAACUACGUG
rnacentral:rRNA from 1 species